UACGUAGGCAGCGAGCGUUGUUCGGAGUUACUGGGCGUAAAGAGUGCGUAGGCGGUUUUCUAAGUUUGGUGUGAAAUCUCCCGGCUCAACUUGGAGGGUGCGCCGAAGACUGGAAGGCUUGAGUAUGGGAGAGGUAAGCGGAAUUCCUGGUGUAGCGGUGAAAUGCGUAGAUAUCAGGAGGAACACCUGCGGUGUAGACGGCUUACUGGACCAUAACUGACGCUGAGGCACGAAAGCGUGGGUAGCAAACAGG
rnacentral:rRNA from 1 species